rnacentral:rRNA from 1 species
UACGUAGGUGGCAAGCGUUGUCCGGAAUCACUGGGCGUAAAGGGUGCGUAGGCGGGUCUUUAAGUCAGGGGUGAAAUCCUGGAGCUCAACUCCAGAACUGCCUUCGAUACUGGCGAUCUUGAGUCCGGAAGAGGUGAGUGGAACUCCUAGUGUAGAGGUGGAAUUCGUAGAUAUUAGGAAGAACACCAGUGGCGAAGGCGGCUCACUGGUCCGGUACUGACGCUGAGGUGCGAAAGCGUGGGGAGCAAACAGG